CCUUGGCUCAUCACCUGGAGAGAGUGGAUCUAGGAGGUCCGGGCAUCGCUACGCUGGGCCCAGCCUGGGUGGAGCCCCCAAGGCGGGAGGGUGGAGCCUCGCGGACCCUGGCUGGGGUCAGGGCAGAAUCCAGGCCUGGGGAGCUCCGGGUGAGACGGGGAGUCCUCAGCCCAGUCAGCUGUGAGGCCACGGGACCCUGGGACAGGGCGGGCUCUGGCCACUAAAUAGCAAAGCAGGCAGAGACAUCCUAUGCCGUUCCAUGUGGGAGCCUCAGACUCUCAGGAGUCCUGACUGGCCCCGGGGUCGUUGGCCACGUUUGCAUCCGGGUCAGGUAGGGUCAGGCUCCCCCGUUUCCCGUGGGCUCUGAGGAGAGAAGGGAACCGGAAGGUUCUGGUCCUGUCCGAGGUGUGUGGAGAGUUGCUUUUCCAGCAGAAAUACCAACUCCCGCGUUUAAGUUUAGGCAGUUGACCAACUUGGAAAAGCUUUGAACUUUGGUUUGGCGUUGAAGCCACACGAUCUGUCGCCCGUGGAAACAGCAGAAUUCCAUAAGGACCGAGUGGGGAAUCCACACUCUCUACGGGGCUCCAGCCACCGGCCGUCUCUUGCUUGACUUCUGACGCGAACGGAGUAGAACAUGUUGCCAUUUGUUUGUUGACAUCGCGGAUGAAGGAGCAGAAUCCAUUUUGCGGGGAAAGAUGUGGAGACACUGUUGGAUACAGCCGCAGGGGAUCACUGGGUGCCUUAAGGAGAGCGGUUGCUACUUCGUGCUGGGGCAGAAGAGACUCGAGUGAGUGGCUGGAUGCAGAUGAAGAUGAAGCCCUGGGGAUGGGUGUGCUGUGAGUUGAAACGAUCCUGGGCUCUGAGUCAUUGUGUGGAGCAGUCCUACACGCCAACAAAACCACGUGCCUUGGACUGCAAUUUUUAAAUUCCUUGCACAACCUUAAUGAAGAUAGUUGUUAUGAAAAAUCUGGAGGAAGAGACGUUAGACUUGUUCAGAGUGACUGUAUUAGACAGAUAUAUGAACGCUCAUCAGAAGUCAACAUGCUGGAUUUCAUGCGGCAAGUUCCCAGCAGAAUUCUCUAGGGAUGGAAUACAUUAUCUAAAAAGGGUGAAUAAAUUAUUGUCCUUUAAUCUCAAUCUCAGUAUCAGACUAUCUAUUCAUAUGGAAAUAUGCUUGCUGUUAAGAGUGGUUGCUGUGGGGGAAGAGAAAGCAAAUCACUAGCUGUGUGAUGUGGAGAGAGUGAAGGAGCAAUUUCUAUUCUUCAGUUCUGGAUGGUUCUAUUGUUUUACAAAGAGCAAGACUUCAAAAAAUCCUUUGUAAGUAAAAUAAAGCAUGGAUAUAUUCCAAAGCCCAGAAAAUGUAAUUUGAGCAAGCUAGUAUUGUUUUCUGUUAACUUUUGAUUUUGUAUUUUUUGAGAACUUGUAUCUUCAAUAUUAAUUUGUAAAGGCUUUAACAAUAUUAGGAAUUUAAAAAUCUAUUCACCACUAAAUUAACUUUUUAAGUUACAAUUUUAAUUCUUUUGGAUACUAGAUUACUAUUUACUUUGUACUUUUGAGGAUUUAUUUUCAAUUUUACUAGGUAAAGUCCCUGUCCUGUUCUUUUUUAAUCAUGUGUUUGGCAACAAAAUUAUGGAGUAAGUUGUCAUGGUAAUAAGAUGAAGACUCAGAUGGGGAUGAGUGGAGUUAGGUUUGUUCCUGUAUUGCUGUGGAUAUUCUGUAUUGUUGUAUUGCGGUGGAUAUUCUGUAUUGCUGUGGAUAUUCUGUAUUGUAUUGCUGUGGAUAUUCUGUAUUGUUGUAUUGCUGUGGAUAUUCUGUAUUGCUGUGGAUAUUCUGUAUUGUAUUGCUGUGGAUAUUCUGUAUUGCUGUGGAUAUUCUGUAUUGUAUUGCUGUGGAUAUUCUGUAUUGUAUUGCUGUGGAUAUUGUCUAUUGUUACCUUGGUGUGGAUAUUCUGUAUUGCUGUGGAUAUUCUGUAUUGUAUUGCUGUGGAUAUUCUGUAUUGUAUUGCUGUGGAUUUUCUGUAUUGCUGUGGAUAUUGUCUAUUGUUACCUUGGUGUGGAUAUUCUGUAUUGCUGUGGAUAUUCUGUAUUGUAUUGCUGUGGAUAUUCUGUAUUGUAUUGCUGUGGAUUCUGUAUUGCUGUGGAUAGUCUGUAUUGCUGUGGAUUCUGUAUUGUAUUGCUGUGGAUAGUCUGUAUUGCUGUGGAUAUUCUGUAUUGUUGUAUUGCUGUGGAUACUCUGUAUUGUAUUGCUGUGGAUAUUCUGUAUUAUAUUGCUGUGGAUAGUCUGUAUUGCUGUGGAUAUUCUGUAUUGUAUUGCUGUGGAUAGUCUGUAUUGCUGUGGAUAUUCUAUAUAUUGCUGUGGAUAUUCUAUA